CUACGGGUUGCAGCAGUGGGGAAUAUUGCACAAUGGGCGCAAGCCUGAUGCAGCCAUGCCGCGUGUAUGAAGAAGGCCUUCGGGUUGUAAAGUACUUUCAGCGGGGAGGAAGGGGGUAAAGUUAAUACCUUUGCUCAUUGACGUUACCCGCAGAAGAAGCACCGGCUAACUCCGUGUCAGCAGCCGCGGUAAUACGGAGGGUGCAAGCGUUAAUCGGAAUUACUGGGCGUAAAGCGCACGCAGGCGGUUUGUUAAGUUAGAUGUGAAAUCCCCGGGCUCAACCUGGGAACUGCAUCUGAUACUGGCAAGCUUGAGUCUCGUAGAGGGGGGUAGAAUUCCAGGUGUAGCGGUGAAAUGCGUAGAGAUCUGGAGGAAUACCGGUGGCGAAGGCGGCCCCCUGGACGAAGACUGACGCUCAGGUGCGAAAGCGUGGGGAGCAAACAGGAUUAGAUACCCGCGUAGUC
rnacentral:rRNA from 1 species